rnacentral:rRNA from 1 species
UACGGAGGGGGCUAGCGUUGUUCGGAAUUACUGGGCGUAAAGCGCGCGUAGGCGGACCUGCAAGUCGGGGGUGAAAGCCCGAGGCUCAACCUCGGAACUGCCUUCGAUACUGCGGGUCUCGAGUCCGGGAGAGGUGAGUGGAAUUCCUGGUGUAGCGGUGAAAUGCGCAGAUAUCAGGAAGAACACCGAUGGCGAAGGCAGCUCUCUGGGACGGUACUGACGCUGAGACGCGAAAGCGUGGGGAGCGAACAGG